rnacentral:tRNA from 1 species
GGAGGAUUCGCCUAGUGGCCUAGGGCGCACGCUUGGAAAGCGUGUUGGGGGCAACCCCUCGCGAGUUCGAAUCUCGCAUCCUCCGCCC